GCUGGCGGUGCGCCUUAUGCAUGCAAGUCGAGCGAAGCUUUUCAGUAGUUUACUACAGAAAAUGACUGAGCGGCGAACGGGUGAGUAACGCGUGAGCAAUCUACCUUAGUUACUGGGAUAGCCCGAGGAAACUCGGAUUAAUACCGGAUAAUCUUAUUACAUCACAUGAUAUUUUAAGUAAAGGUCAGCCGAACUAAGAUGAGCUCGCGUUCUAUCAGCUUGUUGGUGGGGUAAAAGCCUACCAAGGCUACGACGGAUAGCUGGUCUGAGAGGACGAUCAGCCACACUGGGACUGAGACACGGCCCAGACUCCUACGGGAGGCUGCAGCAGGGAAUAUUGCGCAAUGAGCGAAAGCUUGACGCAGCGACACCGCGUGUGGGAUGACGGUUCUAGGAUUGUAAACCACUUUCAGGAGGGAAGAAAAUGACGGUACCUCCACAAGAAGCCCCGGCCAACUACGUGCCAGCAGCCGCGGUAAUACGUAGGGGGCGAGCGUUGUCCGGAUUUAUUGGGCGUAAAGAGCUCGUAGGCGGUUCAACAAGUCGGUCGUGAAAGUUCAGGGCUUAACCCUGAAAUGUCGAUCGAUACUGUUGUGACUAGGAUAUGGUAGAGGUGAGUGGAAUUCCGAGUGUAGCGGUGAAAUGCGUAGAUAUUCGGAGGAACACCAAUAGCGAAGGCAGCUCACUGGACCACUAUCGACGCUGAGGAGCGAAAGCUAGGGGAGCAAACAGGAUUAGAUACCCUGGUAGUCCUAGCUGUAAACGAUGGAUACUAGAUGUAGGAAUUGGAUUGACGAUUUCUGUAUCGUAGCUAACGCGUUAAGUA
rnacentral:rRNA from 1 species